GAUGAACGCUGGCGGCGUGCCUAACACAUGCAAGUCGAGGGGCAGCAUGGUCUUAGCUUGCUAAGGCCGAUGGCGACCGGCGCACGGGUGAGUAACGCGUAUCCAACCUGCCUUACACUCUUGGACAGCCUUCUGAAAGGGAGAUUAAUACAAGAUGUUAUCAUGAGUAAGCAUUUUCGCAUGAUUAAAGGUUUACCGGUGUAAGAUGGGGAUGCGUUCCAUUAGAUAGUAGGCGGGGUAACGGCCCACCUAGUCUUCGAUGGAUAGGGGUUCUGAGAGGAAGGUCCCCCACAUUGGAACUGAGACACGGUCCAA
rnacentral:rRNA from 1 species